rnacentral:rRNA from 1 species
CUGUGAACUGUUGCCACUCCCUUGAUUGGGAAGCACUCUGUUCAGACUGCCCUGUGAAACGGGGAGGAAGGUGGGGACGACGUCAAGUCAGUAUGGCCCUUACGGCCAGGGCUGCACACGUACUACAAUGCCCAGUACAGAACGAUCCGAGACCGCGAGGUGGAGGAAAUCUAGUAAAACUGGGCUCAGUUCGGAUUGGAGGCUGCAACUCGCCUCCAUGAAGCCGGAAUCGCUAGUAAUGCCGUAUCAGCUACGACGGCGUGAAUACGUUCCCGGGCCUU